UACAGAGGGGGCAAGCGUUGUUCGGAAUUACUGGGCGUAAAGGGCGCGUAGGCGGCCUGUUAAGUCGAACGUGAAAUCCCUGGGCUCAACCCAGGAACUGCGUCUGAUACUGGUUGGCUUGAAUCCGGGAGAGGGAUGUGGAAUUCCAGGUGUAGCGGUGAAAUGCGUAGAUAUUUGGAGGAACACCGGUGGCGAAGGCGGCAUCCUGGACCGGUAUUGACGCUGAGGAGCGAAAGCCAGGGGAGCAAACGGG
rnacentral:rRNA from 1 species